rnacentral:rRNA from 1 species
UGAGUACGAGAUGCUACGGCAUCGAAGCAGUCUAUGUCAUACUUCCAAGAAAAGCUUGCACUGUCAUAAACAAAGAAUGCCUGUACCAUAACCGACACAGGUGGGUAGGUAGAGUAUACUAAGGGGCGCGAGAUAACUCUCUCUAAGGAACUCGGCAAAAUGACUCCGUAACUUCGGGAGAAGGAGUGCCUUAUUUAUAAGGUUGCAAUAACAAGAUCCAAGCAACUGUUUAUCAAAAACACAGGUCUCCGCUAAGUCGUAAGACGAUGUAUGGGGGCUGACGCCUGCCCAGUGCCAGAAGGUUAAAGAAGUUGGUUAGUGUAUGCGAAGCUGAUGACUGAAGCCCUGGUGAACGGCGGCCGUAACUAUAACGGUCCUAAGGUAGCGAAAUUCCUUGUCGGGUAAGUUCCGACCCGCACGAAAGGCGUAAUGAUUUGGAUACUGUCUCGGAGAGAGGCUCGGUGAAAUAGACUUGUCUGUGAAGAUGCGGACUACCUGCACCAGGACAGAAAGACCCUAUGAAGCUUUACUGUAACUUGAAAUUGGAAUUGGACUUUGCUUGCGCAGUAUAGGUGGGAAGCGUUGAAAAUAUUCUUGCGGGAGUAUUGGAGCUAUCAGUGAGAUACCACUCUUGUAAUGUUAGAUUUCUAACUUUGAACCAUAAUCUGGUCAAAGAACAGUUUCAGGUGGGCAGUUUGACUGGGGCGGUCGCCUCCCAAAUGGUAACGGAGGCGUACAAAGGUUUCCUCUGAACGGAUAGAAAUCGUAUCUAGAGUGUAAAGGCAUAAGGAAGCUUGACUGUGAGACCUACAAGUCGAGCAGGGACGAAAGUCGGUCUUAGUGAUCUGACGGUACUGAGUGGAAAGGCCGUCACUCAACGGAUAAAAGUUACUCUAGGGAUAACAGGCUGAUCUCCCCCAAGAGUUCACAUCGACGGGGAGGUUUGGCACCUCGAUGUCGGCUCAUCGCAUCCUGGGGCGGUAGUACGUCCCAAGGGUUGGGCUGUUCGCCCAUGAAAGCGGUACGCGAGCUGGGUUCAGAACGUCGUGAGACAGUUCGGUCCAUAUCCGGUGUAGGCGCUAGAAUAUUGAGAGGAGCCUUCUUUAGUACGAGAGGACCGAGAAGGACACACCGCUGGUGUACCAGUUAUCGUGCCAACGGUAAACGCUGGGUAGCUAUGUGUGGAGUGGAUAACCGCUGAAAGCAUCUAAGUGGGAAGCCCACCUCGAGAUGAGUAUUCU